CGUCUCCUUCCUGUAGAUGCUGAGGACGCAGUGGAGGAGGCUCUUGUAUCCUCGGCCGGCCUGCAGCCGCGUCUGAAGGGGGAGGAGCCUAACGCGGGUGACCCACGACCACGCUGCAGCUUCCUGCACACAGACGAAGAAGAAGAAGAAGAAGAAGAAGAAGAAGAAGAAGAAGAAGAAGAAGAAGAAGAAGAAGAAGAAGAAGAAGAAGAAGAAGAAGAAGAAGAAAGGGAACAUUAGAUAAAUAAAAAAGAGAGAGAAACAAGUUUCUAUGAAACUGGACGACAUUAAACUUUUCAUUCAAAUGUA